CAAACGGCUCAAGGCUCGCGUCAAUGGGCUUUGUUGUGAGGGCCCUCCUUGCUAUCCAAUUCCAACCAGGACAUGGAAACAUCAAGCCGUUUACUUAAUUUUACUUUCAUAUUCGACUAUAACAAAAGUAUUCGCAGAUGCACCCAUUUAUCACUUUUUUAGGCUUGUGUACUAUUUGUAAGUAUACUGUAUAUUCAUUGGAUUAUACUCCAUUUUUCUCAUUGCAAUGAUAUUGAUAUUCAA